AUUGAACGCUGGCGGCAUGCUUCACACAUGCAAGUCGAACGGUAACAGGCCGCAAGGUGCUGACGAGUGGCGAACGGGUGAGUAAUGCAUCGGAACGUGCCCAGUCGUGGGGGAUAACGCAGCGAAAGCUGCGCUAAUACCGCAUACGAUCUAUGGAUGAAAGCGGGGGACCGUAAGGCCUCGCGCGAUUGGAGCGGCCGAUGUCAGAUUAGGUAGUUGGUGGGGUAAAGGCUCACCAAGCCAACGGUCUGUAGCUGGUCUGAGAGGACGACCAGCCACACUGGGACUGGGACACGGCCCAGACUCCUACGGGAGGCAGCAGUGGGGAAUUUUGGACAAUGGGCGCAAGCCUGAUCCAGCAAUGCCGCGUGCAGGAAGAAGGCCUUCGGGUUGUAAACUGCUUUUGUACGGAACGAAACGGUCCUGGUUAAUACCUGGGGCUAAUGACGGUACCGUAAGAAUAAGCACCGGCUAACUACGUGCCAGCAGCCGCCGUAAGAC
rnacentral:rRNA from 1 species